rnacentral:tRNA from 1 species
GGGGUUGUGGCUCAGUGGUAGAGCGCUCACCUAGCAUGUGUGAGACACUAGGCAUAUAAAUAAAUAAAAGAAAGUUCAAAAAAAUAUUUAAAAAAAUAUCAAAGAGACAUAACUAAUUGCAAUGUGUGAGUGAAUCUCAGUUCAAUUCCAGCCCCC